rnacentral:rRNA from 1 species
AACGUACGCUGGCGGCAGGCCUAACACAUGCAAGUCGAGCGGACCUUUCGGGGUCAGCGGCGGACGGGUGAGUAACGCGUGGGAAUAUGCCCUUCUCUACGGAAUAGUCCUGGGAAACUGGGGGUAAUACCGUAUACGCCCUUUGGGGGAAAGAUUUAUCGGGGAAGGAUUAGCCCGCGUUGGAUUAGGUAGUUGGUGGGGUAAUGGCCUACCAAGCCGACGAUCCAUAGCUGGUUUGAGAGGAUGAUCAGCCACACUGGGACUGAGACACGGCCCAGACUCCUACGGGAGGCAGCAGUGGGGAAUCUUAGACAAUGGGGGCAACCCUGAUCUAGCCAUGCCGCGUGAGUGAUGAAGGCCUUAGGGUUGUAAAGCUCUUUCAGCUGGGAAGAUAAUGACGGUACCAGCAGAAGAAGCCCCGGCUAACUCCGUG